CCAAGGAGUCUAGCGUGUGCGCGAGUCAUUGGGAUAACACUAAACCUAAAGGCGCAAUGAAAGUAAAAGUUCGUCUAGCGCGAACCAAGGGAAGACGGUCGGUCUUAUUAGGACUGGCCCGCAUUCCCGGGGCGUCUCGUUCUCAUUGCGAGAAGAGGCGCACCAAGAGCGUACACGCUGGGACCCGAAAGAUGGUGAACUAUGCCUGGUCAGGACGAAGUCAGGGGAAACCCUGAUGGAGGUCCGUAGCGAUUCUGACGUGCAAAUCGAUCGUCGGAACUGGGUAUAGGGGCGAAAGACUAAUCGAACCAUC
rnacentral:rRNA from 1 species